UGUGUGUGUGUGUGUGUGUGUGUGUGUGUGUGUGUGUGUGUGUGUGUGUGUGUGUGUAGUGUGUGUGUGUGUGUGUGUGUAACACUAUGCUCUGUUGCCCUCAUCAGGUUAGAGAGGAGUAUUGCAAGCUGCUGUCCUGUAUCUGCACACCACAGAAGAAGAGAUACUCAGAAGUCAGCACUACCAACCCUUCUUCCAGCCAAUCCCAGGGGUCAAGGAGCGCAGAGAACACGGGGAGUCGCAGAUAUGACGUCACCAAACCCCCAUAAUGCACCUAUUUACUUCUCCUCCCAUGAUAAAGGUUCCCACCAGAUGGCCAAACUGUAAAGUCAAAAUGGUCGAUAUUGUAAAAAUGUAUGUGAAGUGUUUCUGAUUUAGUAUCUUGGCCAGAUAGUGACACACCAGAAACACUCAGCCUGAGGAUAGUACUGUUCAGACCAGGUUAGUAGAAAAUGUGUCCAACUAUCCCGCCGGAUAAGCAUUAGGUUAUCCAAUCAGAAGUUAUGUGAUCUUCAUGUCAUCCAAUAGGAAUCCAUAUGGUCUUUAUGUCAUCCAGUCAGAAGUUACACGAUCUUCAUGUCAUCCAAUAGGAAUGAGUAUGAUCUUUAUGUCAUCCAAUUAGAAGUUAUGUGAUCUUCAUGUCAUCCAAUAGGAAUCCAUAUGGUCUUUAUGUCAUCCAGUCAGAAGUUACACGAUCUUCAUGUCAUCCAAUAGGAAUCUAUGUGAUGUUUAUGAUCCAAUAGGAAUCCAUAUGGUCUUCAUGUCAUCCAAUAGGAAUCUAUAUGAUAUUUAUGUCAUCCAAUAGGAAUCCACAUGGUCUUCAUGUCAUCCAAUAGGAAUCUAUAUGAUCUUUAUGUCAUCCAAUAGGAAUCUAUAUGAUGUUUAUGUCAUCCAAUAGGAAUCUAUAUGAUAUUUAUGUCAUCCAAUAGGAAUCUAUAUGAUAUUUAUGUCAUCCAAUAGGAAUCUAUAUGAUGUUUAUGUCAUCCAAUAGGAAUCUAUAUGAUAUUUAUGUCAUCCAAUAGGAAUCUAUAUGAUGUUUAUGUCAUCCAAUAGGAAUCUAUAUGAUAUUUAUGUCAUCCAAUAGGAAUCUAUAUGAUAUUUAUGUCAUCCAAUAGGAAUCUAUAUGAUAUUUAUGUCAUCCAAUAGGAAUCUAUAUGAUGUUUAUGUCAUCCAAUAGGAAUCUAUAUGAUAUUUAUGUCAUCCAAUAGGAAUCUAUAUGAUGUUUAUGUCAUCCAAUAGGAAUCUAUAUGAUAUUUAUGUCAUCCAAUAGGAAUCUAUAUGAUAUUUAUGUCAUCCAAUAGGAAUCUAUAUGAUAUUUAUGUCAUCCAAUAGGAAUCUAUAUGAUAUUUAUGUCAUCCAAUAGGAAUCUAUAUGAUAUUUAUGUCAUCCAAUAGGAAUCUAUAUGAUAUUUAUGUCAUCCAAUUUCACAACCACAAAAGAAAGGUACUAUUUUCCACCACUUGGAUGAAACCAUAAACGUGAUGAACAGAAGCUUUCUUCCUUUACAUGAAUGUGAUUUAUAGUCAUAUUUAUUACCAAGAGCACAAGAUAUGGUGACUUUUCUACACGAUUAAAUCCAGAGGGAUUUAGAAAAACAUUAUGUGAAGACAUGUGUUAGUUGUGACCUAAUGGACUGUUAUACUGUUAAUGUGUUAUUGAUCUUUAACACUUUAUUAAUAACAUUUAAGAAUAAGUCUUUAUAAAUGAAUAUACAUGUUUAUAAAUUA